AUUGAACGCUGGCGGCAGGCUUAACACAUGCAAGUCGAGCGGGGGAAGGUAGCUUGCUACCGGACCUAGCGGCGGACGGGUGAGUAAUGCUUAGGAAUCUGCUUAUUAGUGGGGGACAACAUCUCGAAAGGGAUGCUAAUACCGCAUACGUCCUACGGGAGAAAGCAGGGGAUCUUCGGACCUUGCGCUAAUAGAUGAGCCUAAGUCGGAUUAGCUAGUUGGUGGGGUAAAGGCCUACCAAGGCGACGAUCUGUAGCGGGUCUGAGAGGAUGAUCCGCCACACUGGGACUGAGACACGGCCCAGACUCCUACGGGAGGCAGCAGUGGGGAAUAUUGGACAAUGGGGGGAACCCUGAUCCAGCCAUGCCGCGUGUGUGAAGAAGGCCUUAUGGUUGUAAAGCACUUUAAGCGAGGAGGAGGCUACUUUAGUUAAUACCUAGAGAUAGUGGAUGUUACUCGCAGAAUAAGCACCGGCUAACUCUGUGCCAGCCGCCGCGGUAA
rnacentral:rRNA from 1 species